rnacentral:rRNA from 1 species
GACGAACGCUGGCGGCGUGCUUAACACAUGCAAGUCGAACGCUGAAGCUUGGUGCUUGCACUGGGUGGAUGAGUGGCGAACGGGUGGGUAAUACGUGAGUAACCUGCCCUUGACUCUGGGAUAAGCCUGGGAAACUGGGUCUAAUACUGGAUACGACAUGUCACCGCAUGGUGGUGUGUGGAAAGGGUUUUACUGGUUUUGGAUGGGCUCACGGCCUAUCAGCUUGCUGGUGGGGUAAUGGCUCACCAAGGCGACGACGGGUAGCCGGCCUGAGAGGGUGACCGGCCACACUGGGACUGAGACACGGCCCAGACUCCUACGGGAGGCAGCAGUGGGGAAUAUUGCACAAUGGGCGGAAGCCUGAUGCAGCGACGCCGCGUGAGGGAUGACGGCCUUCGGGUUGUAAACCUCUUUCAGCACGGAAGAAGCGAAAGUGACGGUACGUUCAGAAGAAGCGCCGGCUAACUACGUG